rnacentral:piRNA from 1 species
UGUUAUAGGCGAUUGCGAGACGACA